ensembl:lncRNA
UCAUUAAUAUUUUCUAAAUCAUGAGGUUUUGUCCAUAUUAGGACAGAGAACACCUGUAAAAAGCAUAUUAAAAAAAAUGAUAACAUGUGGUUCUUAUCAAUUACUAAAUGUAUUAUCUUUAUUUGUUUGUUUUAAAAUAAAAAUAUGGAUUACAGUAGCAAGCAUAUUAUCAAGCAAGCAAUCCUGCUGUGCUUCAGUUGUUUGAUAUUAUGCAAGUUGGAGUAAAUUUUUGCUCUUCUGUUACAGUUCUGAUGCAUGAGGAAGCCAAAAGAAAAUAUGUUUGCACCCGACCAUGCAGCAUCUGAUCUGUAUGGGUAAUUUGCUGUAACUGGGAAUCAAUGACACAAAUUCUGUGACUCUAUCUAAUAAGAGAUUCAAUAAUUUUACAGCCAUUAGCACAGCAAACUAAGUCUGUAAGGAUGAUGAUCAAAAAUCACACUUUAGGGCAUAAACUAAUUGCCCAGUAAGCCAGGAAAUUAUAUGUUUCUCCUGUGUUGCACAAACAGUCAGAUGUCCUAUAAGUUUUCACCUUUUUUUUUCCAAAAAACAAGAGAAAUGAAAUACUGAAUGAGGCUUCAUUGCUUGGAUGUAGAAAUGAAGAAAUCCAGAAUUGUAAGUUGAGAAAUAAAUGUUACAUUAAUGUAGACCUCAUUUUCCUGGGUAAGUUCAUUAUUUAAUAUAUAAUAUCUUUCCACUGUAUCAUAAUUCGUACAUAAUAUGAAUGAGAGCUGUGCCAGAAAGAAAUUAAAACACAUAAGAGUUGACAAAUAAUAGGUUGUAGGCUGUGGGUUUCGGGGUUGUAGCCUGACAGAAAUUUAACCACACAAGGUGCUCUUUUUCCCCUCACUGCCCUCAGUGAUUAAAAUUAGCAAUGACAAUCCGGCCCCAGCUUUUCAGGUUGAAGCUAUUGUCAUGGUCUUGAAUGAUCCCCAUCUCUGCAUAAAAAUGUAUAUUAGUGUUUGUAUCCUGCUUUUUUUUUUCUUUUUUCCCCCUCUUAAAAAGCACAGAAAGAACAAGAGAGGAGAAAGUAUCUCUCAUUGCUAGCAUGCUUCUACUUCGUUGUUUGCCUACAGGGCUGCCCUGAACCCUUGCUCCCAUUCCAUCAUAAUACAGGCAGCAAUCAUUUUUCCUUCAAAGGACAAAGUUUGGCCACUUACAGAGAAAAAAAGAAAAAGGAAAAAGAAGAUGAAAAAAAAAGAAAAAAAAAAAAAAGGAAAAGAUACAUCUCUCUUAGCUCCUAAAGUCUAGACCAGGAAAAACCACCAUUUGGUGAAGCUUUGCAAGGACAAAUUUAAGUAGUCGUUAUCAGGAGCUGGGAGGGGCAGGGAGAGAAAGGUCAGGUCUAUACAUAGCCUAAGCAUUUGCUACUUGCUGUUGCCAGGCAAAGGUUACCCAGCUAAAUGAACCUUAUGUCUAACCCCAUGUGGUAUUUUUUGUGUUCUUAUCUGAACUUCUGUCAUGCUGAGCAGAGCAGCUCGCACCUGACAUUUUUUCCUUUAUGGCCUUUUAAGCUACUAAGUCUGAUUAGUAUAGCAUCCUUAGGGAGUGGGAAGACACAGGGCAGGGGGGAAAGGUGGCAGGUAUUUUAAGGCAGGAAAAGGAUCUCCCUCCCACCUAGAUUUUCAGCCAUCCACAUAGCUGCUUCUGUCCUUCCUUCCCCUUAGUGACUAUAAUCGGAGGUGGCGCUGACUCUCAGUCCUCAGGAUCAACAAUUUUUGGUCAAAUUUGUCCAUGAAAAAUACUCUCUUUGUUAAUGAAGAAUUUAAAUCUAAGAUUUUAAUCACACAUCAGGACGCUCAAAGUUAAGGUUGCCACAGCAACCUUACAAUAAGGCUUUGUGCAAUGCAGUUAGUGAAACACACAUUUCAGUUAAAAAUUGUCUCAUUUAUCUGACAGCUUUUUAUCUCCCCCCAGAUUCUGUUCUCUCUGAAUUGUCAUCCAAAUGAGGGGAAGGACAAGAGCCAUUCUGGCAGAGUUCCCUUUUAGAUCCUGAAAGACCUUUCUCAGGUCACCUCACAGCCUUCUCUUCUCCAGGCUGAACAGCCCCAGCUCUUUCAGCCUGUACUCAUGGGGAAGGUGUUCCAUCUCUUGGAUGAUUUUUGUGGCCCUCCUUUGGAUGCACUCCACAGGUCCAUGUCUCUCCUGUACUGAGGACACCACAUCUGAACACAGUACUCCAGCAUCUUCCUGCCUGCACGGUACCCAACAACUUUGGGUGAAUUGCUGGUGUCUGAUGCUAGCAAUUGUAAGUUAGCACCUGGCUCAGUCCUGCUGUUGUUAGACCAGCAAAACUUGACUAACAAACUCACAGAACCGUAUGGGUUGGAAGGAAUUCCUGGAGAUCAUCUAGUCCUGCAUCUGCAGGUUCCCUACACAGGAAAGCAUCCGGGUGGCCUUGAAUAUCUCCAGAAGAGGAGACUCCACAACCUCUCUGGGAAACUUGUUUCAGUUCUCUGUCACCCACACAGUACAGAAGUUUUUCCUCAUGUUCAGAUGGAACUUGCUGUGUUCCAGCUUGAGACAUUUGCUCCUUGUCCUGUUCAUGGGCAGCACUCGAAAGAGUCUGGAACCAUCCACUUGACACUCACCCUUCAGAUGAUUAUAAGCGUUCAUAUUAUCCCCUCUCAGUCUUCUCCAGUUUAAACAGUCCUAGCUGGUCUCCUAGCCUUUCCUCAUAAGAGAGGUGCUCCAUGCCCCUGACCAUCUUUGUCACCCUCUGCUGGACUCUCUCAGUAGUUUCUUGUCUUUCAUGAACUGAAGAGCUCAGAACCGGACACAAUACUUCAGAUGUGGCCUCACAAGGACAGUGCAAAGGGGGAGAAGAACAACCCUCAACCUGUUGGCCACAUUAUUUUAAUCCACCCCAGGAUAUCACUGGCCUUCUUGGCCACAAGGGCAAACUGCUGGCUCUUGGCCAACCUGUUGGCCACCAGAACACCUAUUUCCUUCUCCCUCAACUCAAAGCAGUCUGGAAACAAGAUUUUCGCUCAUGUCCAUAUUGGGUCAUUUUAUGGCAAAAAGUCAGACUAGCAAGGUAACAGGAACAGCACAAUUAGAGGUAAUUAGCCCAACAGGAGAAUCAUUGCCACUGUAUCUAAGAAGUUGGCAAUAUGAGAAAGGUCAAAAUAGUCGCAGAAAUGGAUAUAUAAUUUUCCUAUUUAGAUCACAAGCUCUUUGGGGCUCACAGAAAGCCAAAUAAAAUGACCUCUUUUGUGGCCUUGGAGUACUGCCAUAAAAAAAAUGCAACAUAUCUAGUGAUAAAAAUAACAAUAAAGGUGACCUCAGUGAGGAAUCUCAAAUAGACGAGGAAAAUAAUUUUUUUCAAGGGACAUGAACUUACUAUAGGCAUAAAGGACAAAAUUUCAGGAGCUUAAUUAUUAAUUUAAAGGAACAUUUGGCUGUGGGAUACUGUUAAAAUAAAUAACAACAGUCACACUCUUUAUCUCCUGAGUACAAUUUGGUGGGUAUAUGCUUGCAUUCACUCCCAAACUCUUACUUAUAAAUAAUUGGAAAGUGAAAAAGAUUCCUGUCCUCAGUAAACUUUAGCAAGCUUGCAGGAACUGGAGCAGUUAUUCAAAGAGAGAAAGGCCACACUGAAAUGUACAUCUGAUGCUAACCAGUAUCACAGACAGCUCUUUCACAGACAGCUCUAUCACCUGUCAGUAUUUCACUUGACACUCUUUGAACUGGGCAUCUUUCAGUUUGAUACUCCAUGGGUUCACUCAUGAGAAUGACUCAUUGGGAAGCACUCAUCUGGCCAAAGUCCUCUAGCACCAUUUAACACCCACAGAACUACUUUUACUCAGCAGACUCAGUGUGACUAAUGCCUGCUGAAAGCUGCCGUCUCCUUCAAAACUCUACACCUGAAAUGAAGAUGAGCAGUUUUGUAUUAGGCUAAUAGAAAUAACCUCGGGGAGUAGUUAUGCACACAUUUCAAACACUUGAAAGAGGAACAAAAACUAUGAAGUUGCUAUUGAAGUAUAAUUAAGAUGGUGUUUUCAAGUACAGUACAUCUCCUCAAACUGGAGAAGUAAGGGAGUAAGAAUGGAACCACUUAAAAAGCAGUAAAAGCUCCACUGCAUGAGGCACUCUGCAUGUACAAAAUUAGAGGAUUAGAAACCAUUCAGCCAGUCCAGUGCCUGUGUAGACUGGGAUUUGUAAAGAGCUUCUUAAUGAUUUUCCAUUGAAGGAAGAGAGAGAGAAAAAAAAAAAAAAUAGGCUGAGAAAGGAAAAUACAUAUUCUUUUUCAGUCAUCUAGUUGGAACAAACCGAAGUCCAGCCUACUUCCUUCUGAAGCCUUUCUUGAAAACUAGAUAAAAAGAUUGAAGCUUCCUUUGUGGCUCUAGCAUAUAUUGUUUUUUGCUAAACUAGGGAGGUCCUGGGCUCUACUUACAAGCAAUUUCUUUUAUCAGUUAUUUUUAUGCCAUCAGAAAAGUUGGGAAAAAUUUAUUUUCUGGUGAAAAUUUCAAAUCUCAAAUAUUUUCUUGUCUGCAGAAGCCUCAUGUGUUCCCAUAUUUAUACUGUUAUCUCCACUGAUGAACAGCAGUCCUGGAAGCUCAGUGAAGCUUCCAGGAUCAUGUUUUAAAUAUUUUUAAAGUUAUGGGGGAGAAAUAUAUAUAUAUACGCAUAUUGAUCACAGUAGAGCUUGAAUUUUGUUGGAGUGUUAGGAAGGUUAUGUUUGGUGACUGUUUUUACGUAGGCCUUUCCACCAAUAUUCCAUUACAUUUUGUUGCCAUGUGACAGAUGGCAGCUGAGAGGCAGUCUGACACAACAGACAUGGAAGUAUGUAUGAAGCAACGGUGUAGAAGUGACUCCUCCACAUGGAAAAAAUUGCACCCACUGACAUUCACUGUCACUUGCUUAAUCUUUAUGGAGAACAAACAGUGAAUGUCAGAAGAGUGAGGUGGUGAGUGGUGUGUUUCAGCAAUGGUGAGUGAUGUUAAAGACUAAUCAGGUUCUGGAUGGCCACGCGCAACUAUCACACCACAAAAAGAAGAGCAUCUCAAUCAGCUCAUCUGCAUGAAUUCAUUGAUUGAGACAGACCAGUGCACUGUGUACAGAACUGAAUAUUGGCUUCAGUGUGUUGGAAAUGAUGGUGGCAACACAAAUUUUGCACCAGGCAGGUCCCACGUAAAGAACUGUGUACAAAGUUUUUUGUACAAGACCUGUUGAAGCAAUAUGAGUCUGAAGGUAACAGUUUCCUCAAUCACAUCAUUAUCAGUGAUGAGACAUCAUCACUAUGAGCUAGAGUCAAAAUGGCAGUCCAUGGAGUGGCAAGAUGUGAAUUCCCCAUCCAAAAAAAAGUCCAAGAUGCAGGCCUCUGUGGGUAAAGUGGUGUGCACUGUCUUUUGGGAUAGGAAAGAGGCGAUCUUUCUGGAUUUCCUGAAACAUGGACAAAUCAUCAACACUGACAUCUAUACUGUGAUACUAAGAUGAAGACUUGAACUUCCAGAGAAGUUCAAGCUUUGAACUUGCAAGAGAAGACAACCUUUCUCUUGCAACAUGGCAAUGCCAGGCCCUAUACCAGUUUGAAGACUGUGGAGCACAUUAAAAGUCUUGCCUGGACUGUUCUAUCAUACCCACUGUGUAGUCUGGAUUUUGUGCCUUCUGACUUCCAUCUGUUCAGGCUGAUGAAUGAUGAACUGCAUGGACAAAAUUUUCCUAGCAAUGACUCUGUCAUAGCAGCUGUGAAACAGUGGGUCACUUCCACUGGUGCAGAAAUUUAUGAGUGCAGCACGCAGGCUCUUGUUGAUCACUAGCCAAAAUGCACAGUAAUGGUGGUGACUGUUGAAAAAUAGUAUUCUGUAG